rnacentral:rRNA from 1 species
AUUGAACGCUGGCGGCAGGCCUAACACAUGCAAGUCGAGCGGUAGAGAGGUGCUUGCAUCUCUUGAGAGCGGCGGACGGGUGAGUAAUGCCUAGGAAUCUGCCUAGUGGUGGGGGGAUAACGUUCGGAAACGGACGCUAAUACCGCAUACGUCCUACGGGAGAAAGCGGGGGAUCUUCGGACCUCGCGCCAUUAGAUGAGCCUAGGUCGGAUUAGCUAGUUGGUGAGGUAAUGGCUCACCAAGGCGACGAUCCGUAACUGGUCUGAGAGGAUGAUCAGUCACACUGGAACUGAGACACGGUCCAGACUCCUACGGGAGGCAGCAGUGGGGAAUAUUGGACAAUGGGCGAAAGCCUGAUCCAGCCAUGCCGCGUGGUGUGAAGAAGGUCUUCGAUUGUAAAGCAC